AUAUCAUCCAUCAUUCUUCACCUCUCAAAAAUCCUAGCCUCCAUUCUCUACCAUUUUUCUCUCUUCAACACACAAAAACAACGCCAAAAUCAAAGAAAGAAGAUGAAGACUUGGAAAGGAGCUCAUCAAGAUUACAUGAUUGAAGAUCAAGAUUAUAGGAUUUGUCUAUGAAUCUCUAUCUCUCUAUAUCUUUAUUUAUGUUUUCUUAUGACUUGGAAUUUAUUUUUAUUAUGAAUAUGCUUG
rnacentral:lncRNA from 1 species